rnacentral:rRNA from 1 species
GACGAACGCUGGCGGCGUGCCUAAUACAUGCAAGUCGAACGCAGUGGGGACGGGUGAGUAACACGUGGGUAACCUCCCAUCAGAGGGGAUAACACUUGGAAACAGGUGCUAAACCGAUACUGAUGGAUGGACCCGCGGUGCAUUAGCUAGUUGGUGAGGUAACGGCUCACCAAGGCCACGAUGCAUAGCCGGUCGGAGAGGUUGAUAGGCAAAACUGGGACUGAGACACGGACCAGACUCCUACGGGAGGAAGCAGGAGGGAAUGUUGGGCAAUGGACGAAAGGCUGACCGAGCAAUGCCGCGUGAGUGAAUAAGGUUUUCGGAUCGUAAAGCUCUGUGGUUAGAGAAGCGGUAUCUAACCAGAAAGCCACGGCUAACUACGUGCCAGCAGCCGCGGUAAUAC